GAUCUUUUGCUUGCUUGCCAGGUGUGCGUGCAAACGAGCACCUCCGCAGGCCUGGACCGGAUCCUGCCGUGGCUCUUCUACCACAAGGUCAUCGGCGACUUUUUGCUCUUCGUCGAGGGCAAGGCCGCCAAGCCCAGCGUCGUCGGGGUCCUCGAGUCCAUCCCCGGGUAUGAAGGUGGUGUACAUGACCAAGGAGCUUGAGGAGUAGCAGGCCAGCCGAAUCUGGAACGAAACCUGGCUCGCAGGAUUCUUCUACAAGCCUUGCAACCGCAAACUAUUUUUGAAGCAAGCACUCAACAUGGAGAUGGCCAUUGUGAUGGCCCGGGAAUCUGGCAUGGAUUGGAUAAUGCAUCUAGACACCAAUGAGUUGUUAUAUCCCGGUAGUAUUCCAUCAGAUGCCUGUUAGCUGACGUCCCCGAUGAUGUUGACAUGGUUAUUUUUCCUAACUAUGAAAGCAGCGCCGAGCGUGAUGAUAUAGAAGAUCCAUUCAGUGAAGCUGGGUGAGAAGCAGACAAGGGUCACGGUGAACUAUUGCUAGCUUGAGGAGAUGCUCACAUGAAGACAUGGUUGCCGAAGUUUCUACCGUUUCAAGUUGUUUGUUUAUGAGCCAAGACUGAAGAUAUACAAGCUAAUGUUGCCUCUGCUACCAUGUGGCAACGCAACCAUGAAGGGCUUGACGUGUUGGCUGUCAAGAAGCACUAGGUCGACGGCAGGCAAGGCAUCCAGGAAGCCACAGCACGAGAGAGCGAUGACGCUCAAAGGGUGAGGUUGCCAAAUGGUGCGGUGACACUAGCUCGCUAGCCAAGCAGACUACAUUCUGGACUAUUUACACAUCAUGGACUAAAAUUGGACUUCUUUCUGGACUCACAUCUUUUAUAUAAUAUAUACUCAAGUCUGAUAUGCCUUUUAUUUAUUCUAUAAUUAAGUACAAUCUUUUAAGUUGCUGCUGAAGGAAGAAGACAUGGGGUCAGAAAAAUGUUAAGAUUGACUUGAUGUGUGGUAAGGAACAUCCAGUUGAAAAGCUUUUGAUGCUUGAACAUCCACUACUCAAUUAUUCUUUUAGGUAUGCAUAAUCUGCCAAGUUAUAAGCAGUUCCUUUUAUUUGGGCACGCAUAAUGACCGUUCCGCAGCAUCAGGUUCAAAAAAAGUUCUUCAAGGUUAGUAAUUUUCUCCAAAAAAAGUUCUUCAAGGUUAGUAAUUAACUCCCUUCCCAUAUGGAUAUGCAUGAUGGUUGUUCAUUUUUUGGGAUAGCUUACCCAUCUUAUGCCUUGAAAACUGAGCUACCUCCAUGAUUAUGCAUCUGGUCUCAGUAGAUUAUUUUUCCGCCAAAAUACAGUUGUGAAGAGGAGUUCCUGAUUAUAGCUGAAUAUACCAGCCUACUUGCCUACAACCAAGGCAGAAUUAUCAGCAUGUAUGCGAAACAGCCUGCUAGCUGGGUGUGUGCCCCCUGUUUGAGCGAGAGGGAGGACCUUUGCUGGGCAGUCAAAGGAUGUGCUCGGAUAUGGUGGUCCAACUGCAAGAAAAAACGUCAGUCUCAUCCCUGGCCUUCUUCAGUUGAGGAGAUUACUCUACUUUUUAUCACUGUUGGAGGAUUCCUUAUUUUGAGAAGUCAGUAUCACAGCAACGGGCACGCAGCUUGGCCAACUCAUUAUUUCUACCGGCACCAAUUGUUUUUAUUGUUUCUAGCCAAUGUAGAUUGUGGUGAUUGUAUGAAAGAUUUAAUACCUUCCUCACGUGCAUGCUAGCUAGGAAUGUUUGUGGAUGGACGUGAAAUGAACUGUUAAGUACUCUCCUAUUUAGUUUCACCAGGAAUUUAUUGAUAUGGUAAGAAUUAUUAGAUUGGUUUGUGACGAAAUGUUGCUUGAAAAUAAAUUCACGAUAGGUUAGAGUGGGGGCAAAAAUAGUUACAGUGCUCUUGUAGGACGAUGGAUUUUCUCCAUGUAGUCUUGUAGCCUUCAUGGAAGUCAAAUUUUGUAGGUUUGUUUGUACAUUUUUGCUUUGUUUCGGAAACCAGAGUAGUUCACUUUAUCCAUGUGUUUUUUCUUGCUUCUCUGCACUGUACCCUUUGGGAUGAUCAAUAUGCAUUACUCUUUCUCAAAGUUUCUAUUUGGAACUAUAUUUUUUAUUAAACCACUGUCAGAAGGUUUCACAAGAAACCUAAAAACUGUAACAGGUGGUCAUUAUUUUUUUUGCCAUAUGUAAUGAAUGUUUGCCACAAGUUAGGAAACAUAACUGGUUUUUAGUCGUUUAUCAGUUUGUUUUGCUCAUGGGGAUAUAUAAUUAGCUUUACCAGUUUUUUGAUUAUACAAGUUUUUCUCUUCUUUCUCCACAUGUGUGUUUCUACAAUAUGUGUACAUUCAAGCGCCAGAAGGUUUGUUCUCCCACUGUGUGCCACUAAUAUUUCAUUUUUGUGGGUGAGAUUUUUUAACUUCUGGAUGCGCAAUGGUUUGGAUAUGGUGUUGUGCAAUGCUACUGUGUUAUGCUAUGACCAUGAACAUGCUUAUGUGAUGUGGUGCAUCUCUUUUUAUACUUCAACAUUGUUGUUCCCGCUUGCG